GGGGCAAGCCGGGCGGUCGCCGGGUCGUUUGACCCGGAGGAAAGUCCGAACACCUUAGGGCAGCGAGCCGGAUAACAUCCGGGCACAUGGGUUUCUAGCUUGUGUGACGACAAGUGCAACAGAGAACAGACCGGCCUCGAUCCGUCGAGGUUACGGGUGAAACGGUGAGGUAAGAGCUCACCGGCGUCUGCUGGUAACAGCGGCGGCCAGGCAAACUCCUCGUGGUGCAAGAUCAAAUAGGGGAUCGCUAAUCGAUCGUACGGCCCGUACGAAGUCGGAAACGGCGGCAGGUCCCGGGUAGAUCGCUUGAGCAAUUCGGUAACGAAUGGCCCAGAUGAAUGAUCGCCGCUUGGCCCCGGUCAGGUACAAAAUUCGGCUUACAGGCUCGUCCCAUAG
rnacentral:RNase_P_RNA from 1 species